rnacentral:rRNA from 1 species
GUGGGGAAUAUUGGACAAUGGGCGAAAGCCUGAUCCAGCCAUGCCGCGUGUGUGAAGAAGGUCUUCGGAUUGUAAAGCACUUUAAGUUGGGAGGAAGGGUAGUAACCUAAUACGUUGCUACUUUGACGUUACCGACAGAAUAAGCACCGGCUAACUUCGUGCCAGCAGCCGCGGUAAUACGAAGGGUGCAAGCGUUAAUCGGAAUUACUGGGCGUAAAGCGCGCGUAGGUGGUUUUGUAAGUUGGAGGUGAAAUCCCCGGGCGCAACCUGGGAACUGCCUCCAAAACUGCAUGACUAGAGUACGGUAGAGGGUAGUGGAAUUUCCUGUGUAGCGGUGAAAUGCGUAGAUAUAGGAAGGAACACCAGUGGCGAAGGCGACUACCUGGACUGAUACUGACACUGAGGUGCGAAAGCGUGGGGAGCAAACAGGAUUAGAAACCCCAGUAGUCC